ACUCUGGGAUCACGCCCUGAGCCAAAGGCAGACGCUUAACAACUGAGCCACCCAGAAUUCUAAAUGUUGGAGGAAGUCAUGGAGAGGACGUGACUGCAGAUUGACCCCCAAGCUGGCCCGGGGCAAUCAGAGCUCCUUCAGGGCUUCCCUCUCCUUGGACUGUAGUCACUCACCUUCGUAGAACGGGAGCUGUUUUCGAGGAAGAAGCCUUGAGAGACAAUGUGUUCUUGAGGCCCUCUGGGAGGUUUAUGUGAUGAGUCCCACUUAAAGCUUCUGUAUAAUCCUUUACGAUUCUGGUGCUUGGUGAAGAGAUCAUCUCAUUUUGUGGCGCCCAGGACGAGCCUCCUAUGUAAGUUCCCUUGCUUAUUAAGGCGGCCACCUACCAAUCUGGAAUGGUAUGCCUCUUUCUUGGGUUUCUCCUUGCCCUCGGGGGUCCAAUUUGGGAUUUCACCUGGGAAGCUCCUAAGGGUGCAACUUACACUGAAAUAACAAUGAUGGCCUUCUAUCCCUGCCUUCACACCAACUCUUACACUUUCAAAGGCCCCUUGGGGCGAUACUUUCAAUUCACGAGAUGCUUUGUUGCAGUAAGCCUGGCUCCUGUACCACAAAGAAUAAUAUUGCAAGCUCUCUGCCCUUCAGAAGUCACAGCAAGGUGGUGAAAUACCACUUGAUAGCUUAUACAAGGCGCUCACGCAUGCGUAUACAUACGCACGCGCAUGGAUACACAGCCGGAACUCAGGUGAGAGGGCAAUACAUUCUCUCUACAUGUGACGUCUAUUGACAUUGUUCCCUUCUCCUCAUCCUGGUAAGAAUCCUGCGAGGCAGCUGUAUUGAUUAGGUUUGUGUUCAGUAGUGAAUGACAGUUAUCCUCAAAUAAGAGGCUUAAGCAGGAUAUAUAUUUAUUUCUUUUCUAAGUAAAAGAAGUCAAGUUGGUAGUCCAAGGCUAGUACAGUCACAGAGGAGUCUAGAUCCUUCCAGCUUUCUUCCACGGAGUCUCUAGAAUGCGACCCUCAUAUCAUCAGCAAGGUUCAUGAUGAAUGCGCUUGGAGGACGGAGUGGAUAUCCUUCCUUUCGGGAGACUCGUGGAAGUCUCAUGCAGUGUUUUACGUUGGUACGAAAUCCGCAGUCUGCACCAAAGGAGGCUUGUCGUCGGUCCUUGCAGGUGGGGACCCCCAGGCCCAGGGGACAAUGUGUGGGUGCACGGAGCUAGAAGGCUUAGCUUCUUGGGUUCAGUCAUUUACUAAAGAUGAGACUUGGAGCAAAUGGCUCACCAUCUGCUCAUGCUAGUCUUCCCCCUGGAAAGAACUGGUAUGAGCGAUAUUUUGGAGAGAUCCAGGGGAGAUUGUCCUGCAUGAGAGACACUUUGCAACGACUAAAGGACAGAGCUCAAGCGAGAACAGUGGAGAACUCUGAAGAGCUGUACUAAUUAGUUUUCAUCGGACCUGAAACUGUGCUUACGUCAUCACCAUCACGAGAGUCAGACAAUGAAAUAGAAGGUGGUGCUUCAUGUUUUCAGAAGCCAGCAGAGAGAAGGUUGUGAAAGAAUUUUGGCGGUCCAGCUACUUCCUCUGAGAGAUGUGUGGAUUCUCUGCCCCCUUGCCCUUCAGAGCUCCUGUAUGUUGUUUCCCCAGAAAGAUUGAAGCAUGCCUGUUUCUGGGGGUGCUACUUAGAGCAAGAAAGCCGAAUCCAGCUUCAUCCUAGUGUGGACUCAGAAUGAGCCAGACUGAGAUAACUCUGGAAUGCGGGGACCAGACAGCUUCAGAGAAGCCGCGCAUCUUGUAAACCCGCUACCUGGUGGGAACAGCCCUGGAGCAGGGAAAUUGGGGUUCUCAGCAGCAGUCGGCCUAUCCCGUGCCCCAACCUCAGAACGAUGGAGACCCCCUCCUUGGGGUGAAGUUUCACCAGUGCUCUACCUGGGAAGUGGGCAACAGUGCUGCCUGGUGAUUGACUCCAGCUAACGGCUCCUUGGUCAGGAAUCCGUCAGUGCCAACAGCUUGCACACUCUUUUGGGUGUGAACAGCAUCUGUGCUGAAGACUGGCCUUCAUGCAGAGUAAAAAUCAGCACGUGGCAGUUCUGGCUUGAGAUCCACCUCUGACCCCACCGAGCUUGACUGAUUACCCAGAAACCACUUGGAGACAAAAAGUUGGAUGAAGCAGGUUUAUUGCUGAUUACUUUCGG